AAAUAGAAUUUAAGCUCAACUAAUCAGAAGCAGCCAACAAACUUAUAUAACUGGGAACAGUUUCCAACAGGAUAAGCCAAAGAAGGCAAGUGUAUAACUACAACCAAUCAAAUUUUUUUUGCUUACUUCCCUUUUCAUCCUAUAAAAGCCUCCCUCUUGUAGUCCCUCAAUGAAGCUUCCCAACCACUUCUGGUUUGGAACCCAAUUCAUAAAUCCCUGUCUGCUCAAAUAAACUUAUUGACAUUUUGUUGUGCCUCAAUUUACCUUUUUAAUGCUUUUUUUUUUUGACAGAAUCUUGCUCUGUCACCCAGGCUGGAGUGCAUGGUGGCAUCUCGGGUCACUGCAGCCUCCACCUCCUGGGUUAAAGUGAUUCUUGCACCUCAGCCUCCUGAGUAGCUGGGAUUACAGGUGCACACCACCAUGCCUGGCUAAUUUUUUGUAUUUCUUGUAGAGACAGGGUUUUGCUAUGUUGGCCAGGCUGGUCUCAAACUCCUGGCCUCAAGUGAUCUGCCCACCUCGGCCUCCCAAAGUGCUGGGAUUACAGGUGGGGGCCACCAUGCCUGGCCACAUUUUUAAUAGUUUUGAUAUCUGGCAGGAUAAGUUCCCCUUUACUGUUUUUCCUUUUCAAAAGUCUUUUCUUAUGCAUUUUUUCCAUGUGAAUAUUAAUCAUCAACUGUCUAUUUUAAUGAAGAAUUCCAGUGAGAUGGUUGUUGGGAUUGCACCAAAUUUAUAGAUAAUUUUAUAAGGGAUAUUUUUAUAAUAUUGAAAUUUCCCAAUGUAGUAGAAUAUAUAUCUCCCUUUAUUUAGGUCUUCUUUUAUGUCCAUCAUUAAGUUUUACUGUUUUCUUUGUAAGUUUCUUGCAUUUCUUUUUAGGACUGGUACUAAAUAUUUUGUGAAUUGUAAUUGUGCUGUACAGAGGAUUUUGUUAACGUAUAAUAUCAAGUUGGUCACUAUCACAUAGGAACACAGCCUUUCACAUAGCUGUUCACAUGACAUACUCAGGAACCUUCUGUGGUAAGCAAUGUUUGAACCGUCUUGUGGAAGAAGAGACUGAAGCUCCGAGAAGGAAGCCUGGGGCCAAACGCGGGUCUCUGUGGGUUGGAAGUGAGCUAGGGGAGUUUAUCAUGUGUGUGAUCCUUGGCUUCUCUGUUUAUUUCCUUGCUUAUCUCUCUCAGGAUUCAUCAUGGUGUCAGUAAAAGACCUAGCCUGUGUGAGGAGGCCAAGCGAGGCAGGAUGGGUACCCUGGGGCCAGCAUCUUGCAGAGGUGUCAGUGGGAAGCAGGAUGAGGGAGUUCCUCAGAAAGAAGGAGACUCACGGCUGGAAUCCCACCUACUCUUCUUUGCCUGAAAUACUCAUUUCGGUUGCACCAUGCAGAUUCAGGGUUUGGUACUAAUGAAGAUUAUUUAGCUUCUUAGCUUUGUGAUCAUAGCUAUUUUCCCAACUGCAAAAUAGGGAUAAUAAUUCUACCAAGUUCCCCAAAUUGUAGAAUGCUCAUCACUGGAGAUUUGGGGUGGUAUGAUAGAUUAUUUUAUGUAGUACAUGGCCAUACCUUUAAACAAUGAUAAAUAACAUAGUG
rnacentral:lncRNA from 1 species